AGACAGGGCCGGCCCCGGGUCAGGACGGUGGGGGACCCGGGAAAUCGCCGGCCCCCUUCCUCCCACUCACACCCAGAAGAGGGGCGGAAUAAGGGUCGACCCGACACCCAGGUGGCGAAGGGGCGCACAAAGCUUCAGCAACUACUUACUGGCAGCCAUCCUGCACCAGGAAGGGAGAGUUUGCUGAGAAUGAAGCCAGUCUUAAGAAAAACUAGAAGAGAAAAUACAGGUCCUGGUCACAUUAUUUGGAUUGCUGGAUCAAGCUAUGCCUGAAGCCAUUUGUGGACUUUUUAGCAAUGUUCACUAAUAAAUUUCAUUUACUUUUCAGUCAGUUUGAGUAGGAUUCUCUGUUUUGUUACCCGUAAUCCUAACACAAACCCCAACUAAAUACGAUUCUGCUGCUAACCACCUGGAAUUAGUGUCAGACUCCACAAGUUUAAGGGCACAGUCCUCAGCAAGACUGCCCUUACUUCAGGUGCCAACCACACUUUAAGGGUCCCUAGCCACACUUCUGACCAAUUGGCAAAUUCAGGGGCUCCCAUGAUUCCCUCAGUUCAGUAAUUCACAAGAAUGACUCACACAACUCAAGAAAGCGCACACUUACAAUUACAGUUUUAUUUAGAGGAUACAAUCAGGGCCAGGCAAGAGACACACGGGUGAAUUCUGGGAGGGUCUUGAACACAGAGCUUCCAUGUUUUCUAUCUGUGCAGCAAGGACAUGUCAUCUCCCCAGCACAUCUGUGUUCCCCAACUUGGAACACCUCUGAGCCUCAGUGUCCAGAAAUUUUACUGGGAUUCCAUUAGGAAGGUAUGAUUGAUUGGAUCACUGGCCACUGAGACUGAACUCAAUCUCCAGCAUGUUAGAGCUGUUUCCUCAAGCUGCCCCUCCUUUCUGUUCCCUCUACCUCUGCAUUAAUUCAAUCCCUCCUCACCUCUCACCUGAAUCUAGUGUAGCCUCUUAGUUCUUUUUUUUUUUUUUUUUUUUUUGCCUGUUGCUUUCCUUUUUCUUUCUUUCUUUUUUUUUUUUUUUUUCAGGCCUCACCCCUGGCAUAGGGAGGUUCCCAGGCUAGGAGUCGAAUUGGAGCUGUAGCUGCUGGCUUACACCACAGGCACAGCAAUGCGGGAUCCAAGUUUCCUGUCAACUUCUGCCACCCCCUGGGCAGUUAUAAAGUCCAUGUGGCCCUCUCAGUUUCCUGCCUCAUUUCCUCCAAUCCAAUGAAUUUCUUCUCAAUUAUGCAUCCUCCAUAAUCUUCUCUUUAUACUGUGAUCUCUCCUUAGGUUCUCUUAUGAUUUAUACACAGUCUGUGUACUCAUGACAGUUUUUUUUCCAGCUCAGUUACACUUCUGAAAUUCAUACCUCCAUAUUCAACUGCCUUUUUGGCACAUCCCUUUACAUGUCUCGUACUCAAGCAUCUCAAACUUAACUUCUCGAAACUUAGCUACUUCUUCUUUGACCCUCCUCUGGCAAAUCAGCUGCAUUUCAGCAGUUAUGUUAUCUACCUUCCUCACGCCCUCAUUUAUUCUAUCACUAAACCUGAUCCAGUUUAUCUCCAAGAUAUAACUUGAAUCUAUUUACUUCUCACCAUCCCCACAGCUAAAGCCCAGGCCAAGGCAUCAUCUCUUUCUGCCUGGACUAUUACAAUAGUGCCCAGCAGGUCCCUCACUGGUCAUUCUUGACAUCUUUCAAUCUACUGUUUACAAAGCAAGCAAAGUGAUUUUUUUUUUUUAUGCAAACUUCAUCUUUUUCUCCUUAAAGCUUUUUUGAGACUUUCCAUUUCUCAUUUUCUCACAAUUCAACAUCUUUUGCAUGUUCGACAAGGGCCUUGCAUGAUCUGGUUCCCAGAGUCUUUCCAGUUUGCCUCCCGCCACUCUCCCCCUUACUAGAUCAGUCACACAGUCCUUCUCUCUUUUCUGAAGAUGCUGAGCCCCCUCAUGCUUCAGAGUGAUUACACACGCAGUCCUUUCUACUUUGAACAUUCUCCACGCCCUACUCCCAUCUCCAUCUACCCAUUACUGUGUGACAGGAGCUGCAACCUCAACAAGAUAGAACUCUCUCCCCCCAAGAGAUCAUUGUAAUAAGAGACCUACAUGUAAGAAAAAAAAAAAA